AUGACACCUCACUUUACGCUUCCUUCCCUUCCAUUCAUCAUCUCUCUCCUCCAACAUCAUCACAAAGCCUAAUUUUCACCAUACCCAACCUUCUUCUUCUUCUUCCUCCUCAAUCCUUCUUCUGACUGUUCUCCAAUCCAUGGAGGCUCCCACGCCUCACCUCCUCCUCUUCCUCCUCUUCGCCGUCUCUUCCCUCACCACAUCCACCACCGCAGAUGACGGAGCAGCAAUGCUCGCAUUAGCCAAAUCAUUCCGUCCUCCGCCGUCAGACUGGUCAACCACCUCCUCCACCGACUACUGCAAAUGGACCGGCGUAAAAUGCACCUCCGGCCGCCGCGUCGGCUCAAUAAGCCUCGAGGACACGUCUCUCUCCGGCGUAUUACCACCGGAGAUCUCCACUCUCUCCGAGCUCAAGACCCUCACUCUCCAACGCAACAAACUCUCCGGAAAAAUCCCCUCCUUCGCUAAACUCUCCUCUCUCCAAGAAAUCUACCUCGACGCGAACCUCUUCGACUCCGUCGAGCCCGGAGCUUUCGCCGGACUCACCAGCCUCCAGGUCCUGAGCUUAAGCGACAACCCCAACAUCUCCCCUUGGAGCUUCCCUUCCGAGCUCGCGGACUCGUCUUCCCUCACCACCCUCUCCCUCGACAACACCACGAUCUCCGGCGUCUUGCCUGACGUUUUCGCCUCCUUCGCUUCUCUCCAGAGUCUCCGCCUCUCUUACAACAACAUCACCGGCGUUUUACCUCCCUCGCUGGCCAAGUCUCCGGUUCAGAAUUUUUGGAUCAAUAAUCAGAAAUCCGGUUUAUCCGGUACGAUUCAAGUUCUUUCCGGUAUGACGUCGUUAUCACAAGCUUGGUUACAGAAGAAUCAGUUAACCGGACCGAUACCGGAUCUCUCGAAAACCAAUCUCUUCGAUCUUCAGCUUAGAGAUAACCAGUUAACCGGAACCGUAGCUCCCUCGCUGUUACCGCUCGGAAGCCUCAAGAACAUUACUCUCGACAACAACAAGUUUCAAGGUCCUCUUCCUCUGUUUCCACCGGAGGUUGAGAAAGUAUCCGCCGAGCAUAACUACUUCUGCACCGCCAAAGCUGGAGAGAACUGUGAUCCUCAGGUCAUGACGCUCUUGGCCGUGGCCGGUGGUUUGGGGUAUCCGUCUACGUUGGCUGAGUCUUGGCAAGGAAACGAUGCUUGUAGCAGCUGGGCGUAUGUUACUUGCGACUCAAGUAAGAGGAGUGUUGUCACGUUGAAUCUUGCCAAACAUGGAUUCGCCGGAGUUAUAUCUCCGGCGAUGGCGAAUCUCACUUCAGUCAAAAACAUUUACCUUAACGACAACAACUUAACCGGGGCUGUCCCUAGAGUGUUGACAUAUAUGCCUAGUCUGCAGCUAAUCGAUGUCUCAAACAACAACCUCACCGGAGAAAUACCGAUUUUUCCGGCUCAGGUGAAGUUUAAUUACAAACCGGGAAACGUUUUGAUUGGAACUGACGUCGGAGAUUCUACAAACGGUGGUGGUGGUGGUGGUGGUGGUGGUAAGGCUGGUGUGAUCAUCGGUGUGAUCGUAGGUGUUCUUGUUUUCAUCGCUAUUUUUGGAUUUGUGGUUUACAAAUUUGUCAUGAAGGAGAAGUAUGGGAAGUUUGGAAGGACGGAUCCUGAGAAGGCCGGGAAGCUUAUGGUUAGUGAUGAUAAGAAUGGUGGUGCAUACGGGAAUGGGCAUGGAGCUAGCAACUUCAAUGCGGUGAAGAGUCCUAGUAGUGGUGACAGUAGCGAUCGUUUCCUUGUUGAAGGUGGAAACGUUACCAUCCCAAUAGAGGUUCUUCGUCAAGUUACUAAUAAUUUCAGCGAUGCUAAGAUAUUGGGAAGAGGCGGCUUUGGUGUUGUGUAUGCCGGAGAGCUACACGAUGGGACCAAGACUGCUAUUAAGAGGAUGGAAUCUUCAUCGAUGGGUGAUAAAGGAAGGAACGAGUUUCAGGCCGAGAUCGCUGUGCUCACUAAGGUCAGACAUAGACAUUUGGUUGCUCUGUUGGGUUACUGUGUGAACGGGCACGAGAGAUUGCUUGUCUACGAGUACAUGCCUCAGGGGAAUCUUGGACAACAUUUGUUUGAGUAUCAAGAACUAGGGUACUCUCCUUUGACGUGGAAACAAAGAGUGAGUAUCGCUCUGGAUGUGGCACGAGGUGUGGAAUAUCUCCAUGGCUUAGCUCAGCAGAGCUUCAUCCAUAGAGAUUUAAAGCCUUCUAACAUCCUUCUUGGUGAUGAUAUGAGGGCAAAGGUUGCUGAUUUCGGUUUGGUUAAGAACGCACCGGACGGGAAAUACUCUGUUGAGACGAGAUUAGCAGGCACAUUCGGUUAUCUAGCACCAGAAUACGCCGCUACUGGGAGAGUAACGACGAAAGUGGAUGUGUUUGCAUUUGGAGUUGUUCUUAUGGAGAUGCUAACGGGAAGAAAAGCAUUAGACGAUUCAUUACCAGACGAGAAGUGUCAUCUAGUCACGUGGUUCAGAAGAAUCCUAAUCAACAAAGAAAACAUCUCAAAGGAACUCGACCAAACAUUGGAGGCAGACGAGGAAACAUUGGAGAGCAUUCACAGGGUUGCUGAGCUAGCAGGACAUUGCACAGCCCGGGAGCCUCAACAGAGACCAGAUAUGGGCCACGCGGUGAACGUGUUAGGCCCACUGGUGGAGAAGUGGAAACCGACGAGCCAGGAACAAGAAGAGAGUUUCGGGAUCGAUGUGGGCAACAUGAGUUUACCUCAAGCUCUACGCAGAUGGCAACAAAACGAAGGAACAUCGACGUCAAUGUUCGGUGGCGACUUCUCUUACUCUCAGACACAGUCUAGCAUUCCUCCUAAGCCUUCUGGUUUUAAUAGCACGUUCGAUUCAACUGAUGGUCGGUGACAACAAACUCUUGUGUGUUUUCAAAUCGAUGUUACUUUUGUGUGUGUGUGUUUUUAAAUCUUCUUAUGAUUUGAUGAUUAUAUUUCUAUAUACUGUUAGCACAUAUGUGAUGUAUUUGCGUCUGACCACUUGAGCUUUUGCAUUUAUUCAUUCGUUUAAAGAGAAA